rnacentral:rRNA from 1 species
UCGCAAUGCCCGAAAGGGUGACGAAGCGACGCCGCGUGUGGGAAGAAGGCCUUCGGGUUGUAAACCACUGUCGGGAGUUAAGAAAUGUAAGGAUGUUAAUAGCGUCCUUACUUGACUAAGGCUCCGGAGGAAGCCACGGCUAACUCUGUGCCAGCAGCCGCGGUAAUACAGAGGUGGCAAGCGUUGUUCGGAAUUAUUGGGCGUAAAGAGCACGUAGGCGGCCUUGAAAGUCAGUUGUGAAAGCCUUCCGCUUAACGGAAGAACAGCAUCUGAUACUACAGGGCUUGAGUGCGGGAGGGGAGAGUGGAACUUCUGGUGGAGCGGUGAAAUGCGUUAGAUAUCAGAAGGAACGCCGGCGGCGAAAGCGGCUCUCUGGCCCGUAACUGACGCUGAGUGUGCGAAAGCUAGGGGAUCAAACGGGAUUAGAUACCCCGGUAGUCCUAGCCGUAAACGAUGGGCACUAA